rnacentral:rRNA from 1 species
ACUCCUACGGGAGGCAGCAGUCGGGAAUCUUGGGCAAUGGGCGAAAGCCUGACCCAGCAACGCCGCGUGAGGGAUGAAGGCCCUCGGGUCGUAAACCUCUGUCGGGAGGGAAGAGCGGUGACGUUUCGAAUAGGCUCGUCACCUGACGGUACCUCCAAAGGAAGCACCGGCUAACUCCGUGCCAGCAGCCGCGGUAAU